UAAGACAGAAGGGACAAGCGUUGUCCGGAAUUACUGGGUGUAAAGGGGGUGUAGGCGGAUUUGUAAGUCAGAGAUUAAAACUACAAGCUCAACUUGUAGAAGCUCUCGAUACUGCAAACCUUGAGUGUAAGAGGAGAGAGUGGAACUCCUGGUGGAGCGGUGAAAUGUGUUGAUAUCAGGAGGAACACUCGUGGCGAAAGCGUCUCUCUAUCUUACUCUGACGCUGAGACCCGAAAGCUAGGGGAGCAAACAGGAUUAGAGACCCUGGCAGUCCUAGCCACAAACGAUGACCAUUAGGUGUUCUCUGAAUUAUCAGGGAGUGCCGUAGCUAACGCGUUAAAUGGUCCACCUGGGGACUACGGCCGCAAGGCUA
rnacentral:rRNA from 1 species